rnacentral:rRNA from 1 species
UUGCACGCUGGCGGCAUGCUUUACCCCUGCAAGUCGCACGGUAACAGGCCUUCGGGUGCUGACGAGUGGCGAACGGGUGAGUAAUGCAUCGGAACGUGCCCAGAGGUGGGGGAUAACGCAGCGAAAGCUGUGCUAAUACCGCAUGUGAUCUGAGGAUGAAAGCGGGGGACCAAGCAGCAAUGUUUGGCCUCGCGCCUCUGGAGCGGCCGAUGUCAGAUUAGGUAGUUGGUGGGGUAAAGGCCUACCAAGCCGACGAUCUGUAGCUGGUCUGAGAGGACGACCAGCCACACUGGGACUGAGACACGGCCCAGACUCCUACGGGAGGCAGCAGUGGGGAAUUUUGGACAAUGGGCGCAAGCCUGAUCCAGCAAUGCCGCGUGCGGGAAGAAGGCCUUCGGGUUGUAAACCGCUUUUGUACGGAACGAAAAGGCUCUGGCUAAUACCUGGGGCUGAUGACGGUACCGGAAGAAUAAGCACCGGCUAACUACGUG